ACUUGCUUUCUUUGCUGGCGACCGGCGCACGGGUGAGUAACACGUAUCCAACCUACCCUUUACUCGGGGAUAGCCUUUCGAAAGAAAGAUUAAUACCCGAUAGCAUAAUGAUUCCGCAUGGUUUCAUUAUUAAAGGAUUCCGGUAAAGGAUGGGGAUGCGUUCCAUUAGGUUGUUGGUGAGGUAACGGCCCACCAAGCCUUCGAUGGAUAGGGGUUCUGAGAGGAAGGUCCCCCACAUUGGAACUGAGACACGGUCCAAACUCCUACGGGAGGCAGCAU
rnacentral:rRNA from 1 species